rnacentral:rRNA from 1 species
AUGCAGUCGAGCGAACAGAAGGGAGCUUGCUCCCGGAUGUUAGCGGCGGACGGGUGAGUAACACGUGGGUAACCUGCCUGUAAGACUGGGAUAACUCCGGGAAACCGGAGCUAAUACCGGAUAGUUCCUUGAACCGCAGGUUCAAGGAUGAAAGACGGUUUCGGCUGUCACUUACAGAUGGACCCGCGGCGCAUAGCUAGUUGGUGGGGUAAUGGCUCACCAAGGCGACGAUGCGUAGCCGACCUGAGAGGGUGAUCGGCCACACUGGGACUGAGACACGGCCCAGACUCCUACGGGAGGCAGCAGUAGGGAAUCUUCCGCAAUGGACGAAAGUCUGACGGAGCAACGCCGCGUGAGUGAUGAAGGUUUUCGGAUCGUAAAGCUCUGUUGUUAGGGAAGAACAAGUGCGAGAGUAACUGCUCGCACCUUGACGGUACCUAACCAGAAAGCCACGGCUAACUACGUGCCAGCAGCCGCGGUAAUACGUAGGUGGCAAGCGUUGUCCGGAAUUAUUGGGCGUAAAGGGCUCGCAGGCGGUUUCUUAAGUCUGAUGUGAAAGCCCCCGGCUCAACCGGGGAGGGUCAUUGGAAACUGGGAAACUUGAGUGCAGAAGAGGAGAGUGGAAUUCCACGUGUAGCGGUGAAAUGCGUAGAGAUGUGGAGGAACACCAGUGGCGAAAGCGACUCUCUGGUCUGUAACUGACGCUGAGGAGCGAAAGCG